ensembl:misc_RNA 7SK 7SK RNA
AGAUGUGAAGGCGAUCUAGCUGUGUCUUCUGUCACCUCCGUGGAUGGCCAGAGUUGAUUUAGCUUAUCUGGCUGGCUAGGCAGGUGACCUCUUCCUCCCUCACUUCUCCAUGUGUGUCCCUUCCAAAGUUGCACGCACUGUCAAAGAGGAUGACCUUCCCCCAUAAAGGAGGAUCAUUCUUUGGUCAAGAGUAUAUGAGUAGCUGUGCUCCUCUGCUAUAAUCUCCAAAUAAGAUCUGAAGAAAUUUAUAAUCUAGUUGGGAAGAUAAAAGACAAAUAUGUACAAAAAUAAGAAGCUGAGGCAAAAAGAUUUGAAAUUC